rnacentral:rRNA from 1 species
AACGAACGCUGGCGGCAGGCCUAACACAUGCAAGUCGAGCGCCCUUUCGGGGGAGCGGCGGACGGGUUAGUAACGGCGUGGGGAAUAUGCCCAGAUCUAAGGAAUAGCCACUGGAAACGGUGAGUAAUACCUUAUACGCCCUUCGGGGAAAGAUUUAUCGGAUUUUGGAUUAGCCCGCGUUAGAUUAGGUAGUUGGUGGGGUAAUGGCCUACCAAGCCUACGAUCUAUAGCUGGUUUUAGAGGAUGAUCAGCAACACUGGGACUGAGACACGGCCCAGACUCCUACGGGAGGCAGCAGUGGGGAAUCUUGGACAAUGGGGGGCAACCCUGAUCCAGCCAUGCCGCGUGA